rnacentral:tRNA from 1 species
GCUAGUUAAGUGUUUAUGCACAUUGACUUUUCACGUCAAAAGAGCACAUUAGUGCACUUAGCU